UACGAAGGGGGCUAGCGUUGCUCGGAAUCACUGGGCGUAAAGCGCGCGUAGGCGGUCCGGUAAGUCCGCUGUGAAAGUCGGGGGCUCAACCCUCGGAUGCCGGUGGAUACUGUCGGGCUUGAGUGCGGAAGAGGCGAGUGGAAUUCCUGGUGUAGCGGUGAAAUGCGUAGAUAUCUGGAGGAACACCGGUGGCGAAGGCGGCGUUCUGGACUGCAACUGACACUGAUGAACGAAAGCCAGGGGAGCAAACGGG
rnacentral:rRNA from 1 species